rnacentral:tRNA from 1 species
UGGCUGAAUGGUAAAGCGCUUGGCUUCCAAACCGAGUAGUCUCGGGUUCGAAUCUCGA